rnacentral:rRNA from 1 species
GAUGAACGCUAGCGGCAGGCUUAACACAUGCAAGUCGAGGGGCAGCACGGGUAGCAAUACUUGGUGGCGACCGGCGCAAGGGUGCGUAACGCGUGAGCAACAUGCCCGUAUCAGGGGGAUAAUCCAGGGAAACUUGGUCUAAUACCCCAUAGCAAUUAUUUAAGGCAUCUUAAAUAAUUUAAAGCUUUGGUGGAUACGGAUUGGCUCGCGUGACAUUAGCUGGAUGGUAGGGUAACGGCUUACCAUGGCUACGAUGUCUAGGGGUUCUGAGAGGAAGGUCCCCCAACUGGAACUGAGACACGGUCCAGACUCCUACGGGAGGCAGCAGUGAGGAAUAUUGGACAAUGGAUGGAAAUCUGAUCCAGCCAUGCCGCGUGCAGGAAGACGGCCCUAUGGGUUGUAAACUGCUUUUGUAUGGGAGCAAUAAGAUCUACGUGUAGAUUGAUGAGAGUACCAUACGAAUAAGCACCGGCUAACUCCGUGCC